AUUGAACGCUGGCGGCAUGCUUUACACAUGCAAGUCGAACGGCGGCGCGGGGCAACCUGGCGGCGAGUGGCGAACGGGUGAGUAAUAUAUCGGAACGUACCCAGAAGUGGGGGAUAACGUAGCGAAAGUUACGCUAAUACCGCAUACGAUCUACGGAUGAAAGUAGGGGACCGCAAGGCCUUAUGCUUUUGGAGCGGCCGAUAUCUGAUUAGCUAGUUGGUGAGGUAAAGGCUCACCAAGGCGACGAUCAGUAGCUGGUCUGAGAGGACGACCAGCCACACUGGAACUGAGACACGGUCCAGACUCCUACGGGAGGCAGCAGUGGGGAAUUUUGGACAAUGGGCGCAAGCCUGAUCCAGCAAUGCCGCGUGAGUGAAGAAGGCCUUCGGGUUGUAAAGCUCUUUUGUCAGGGAAGAAACGGUAGAGGCUAAUAUCCUUUGCUAAUGACGGUACCUGAAGAAUAAGCACCGGCUAACUACGUG
rnacentral:rRNA from 1 species